rnacentral:rRNA from 1 species
UACAGAGGUCCCAAGCGUUGUUCGGAUUCACUGGGCGUAAAGGGUGCGUAGGCGGUCGGGUAAGUCUGAUGUGAAAUCUCACAGCUUAACUGUGAAACUGCAUUGGAUACUAUCCGGCUCGAGGAAUGGAGGGGAGACUGGUAUACUUGGUGUAGCAGUGAAAUGCGUAGAUAUCAAGUGGAACACCAGUGGCGAAGGCGAGUCUCUGGACAUUUCCUGACGCUGAGGCACGAAAGCCAGGGGAGCAAACGGG